rnacentral:rRNA from 1 species
GACGAACGCUGGCGGCGUGCUUAACACAUGCAAGUCGAACGGAAAGGCCCUGCUUUUGUGGGGUGCUCGAGUGGCGAACGGGUGGGUAACACGUGAGUAACCUGCCCUUGACUUUGGGAUAACUUCAGGAAACUGGGGCUAAUACCGGAUAGGAGCUCCUGCUGCAUGGUGGGGGUUGGAAAGUUUCGGCGGUUGGGGAUGGACUCGCGGCUUAUCAGCUUGUUGGUGGGGUAGUGGCUUACCAAGGCUUUGACGGGUAGCCGGCCUGAGAGGGUGACCGGCCACAUUGGGACUGAGAUACGGCCCAGACUCCUACGGGAGGCGGCAGUGGGGAAUAUUGCACAAUGGGCGGAAGCCUGAUGCAGCAACGCCGCGUGCGGGAUGACGGCCUUCGGGUUGUAAACCGCUUUCGCCUGUGACGAAGCGUGAGUGACGGUAAUGGGUAAAGAAGCACCGGCUAACUACGUG